rnacentral:misc_RNA from 1 species
ACAGUUUUCUACUGUGUUGGACAUUAUUUUGUAAAUUAUUUAUUGUUCAGAAAUGCUAUUCAUCAUGCAUUAGUGCUUCAAGUCCAAAUUAAAGUGCAUUAAAUCUGGAUUCUCCUGUUAAAACCCAAUUCACCAAAAGUAAACAAAAAACAGUGCUAUGAUGUUAAAACGUGGGAAGUUGUAAAAUAAAGAGCAAAAAGUUGUAAGCAGUUGAAAAAAAAUUAUUAAUAAUUAAAAAAAAAAAUGUAAAAU